rnacentral:rRNA from 1 species
GAGUUUGAUCCUGGCUCAGGACGAACGCUGGCGGCGUGCUUAACACAUGCAAGUCGAACGGAAAGGCCCCGCUUGCGGGGUACUCGAGUGGCGAACGGGUGAGUAACACGUGGGUGAUCUGCCCUGCACUUCGGGAUAAGCCUGGGAAACUGGGUCUAAUACCGGAUAUGACCUCCCCUUAGUGUGGGGGGUGGAAAGAUUUAUCGGUGCAGGAUGAGCCCGCGGCCUAUCAGCUUGUUGGUGGGGUAAUGGCCUACCAAGGCGUCGACGGGUAGCCGGCCUGAGAGGGUGGACGGCCACAUUGGGACUGAGAUACGGCCCAGACUCCUACGGGAGGCAGCAGUGGGGAAUAUUGCACAAUGGGCGGAAGCCUGAUGCAGCGACGCCGCGUGGGGGAUGACGGCCUUCGGGUUGUAAACCUCUUUCGACAGGGACGAAGUGAAAAUGACGGUACCUGUAUAAGAAGCACCGGCUAACUACGUGCCAGCAGCCGCGGUAAUACGUAGGGUGCGAGCGUUGUCCGGAAUUACUGGGCGNUAAGAGCUCGUAGGUGGUUUGUCACGUCGUCUGUGAAAUUCCGGGGCUUAACCUCGGGGCGUGCAGGCGAUACGGGCAAUACUUGAGUGCUGUACGGGAGACUGGAAUUCCUGGUGUAGCGGUGAAAUGCGCAGAUAUCACGAGGAACACCAAUGGCGAAGGCAGUUCUCUGGGCAGUUACUGACGCUGAGGAGCGAAAGCAUGGGUAGCGAACAGGAUUAGAUACCCUGGUAGUCCAUGCCGUAAACGGUGGGCGCUAGGUGUAGGGGACUUCCACGUUCUCUGUGCCGUAGCUAACGCAUUAAGCGCCCCGCCUGGGGAGUACGGCCGCAAGGCUAAAACUCAAAGGAAUUGACGGGGGCCCGCACAAGCGGCGGAGCAUGUGGAUUAAUUCGAUGCAACGCGAUGAACCUUACCUGGGCUUGACAUACACCGGACCGGCGUAGAGAUACGUCUUCCCUUGUGGCCGGUGUACAGGUGGUGCAUGGUUGUCGUCAGCUCGUGUCGUGAGAUGUUGGGUUAAGUCCCGCAACGAGCGCAACCCUUGUCUUAUGUUGCCAGCACGUGAUGGUGGGGACUCAUGAGAGACUGCCGGGGUCAACUCGGAGGAAGGUGGGGAUGACGUCAAAUCAUCAUGCCCCUUAUGUCCAGGGCUUCACACAUGCUACAAUGGUCGGUACAGCAGGUCGCGAACUCGUGAGAGUAAGCCAAUCCUUCAAAGCCGGCCUCAGUUCGGAUUGGGGUCUGCAACUCGACCCCAUGAAGUCGGAGUCGCUAGUAAUCGCAGAUCAGCAACGCUGCGGUGAAUACGUUGCGCCGGGCCUUGUACACACCGCCCGUC